rnacentral:rRNA from 1 species
AACGAACGCUGGCGGCAGGCUUAACACAUGCAAGUCGAACGCCCCGCAAGGGGAGUGGCAGACGGGUGAGUAACGCGUGGGAACGUGCCCUAAGGUACGGAACAACUCCGGGAAACCGGAGCUAAUACCGUAUGUGACCGAGAGGUGAAAGAUUUAUCGCCUUAGGAUCGGCCCGCGUCAGAUUAGCUAGUUGGUGGGGUAAUGGCCUACCAAGGCGACGAUCUGUAGCUGUUCUGAGAGGAAGAUCAGCCACACUGGGACUGAGACACGGCCCAGACUCCUACGGGAGGCAGCAGUGGGGAAUCUUGGACAAUGGGCGCAAGCCUGAUCCAGCCAUGCCGCGUGAGUGAUGAAGGCCUUAGGGUUGUAAAACUCUUUCGCCGAGGACGAUAAUGACGGUACUCGGAGAAGAAGCUCCGGCUAACUUCGUGCCAACCGCCGCCGUAAAAC